rnacentral:piRNA from 1 species
UGGAGCUCUUAGGUGUAGCCCGGAAA